rnacentral:tRNA from 1 species
UGUCCGGUAGCUCAGUUGGUUCAGAGCGCCGCUCUGAUAUGGCGGAGGGCGGAGGUUCAAUUCCUCCCCGGACAA